CCAUUCUUGUUUCCUCCCUAUCCCUUUCCUUUCCCUUUCUUGUUCCUCAAAUCUCUUCGGACAUUGUGUCACUCCAUUUCAUGAAUGCCCCUUUUUUAGGGUUUCUAAAAGUGAUUUAUUGAUGGAUUUAAACUGAUCUUCAUCUAUUUGGAGGAGAGAAUCGAGAUGCCUUUCCCGGAUUUCAGAUCUCAUUUUCCAGAUGAGAUCUUGAGCUGUGUUGAGCAGGAUCGAAUUCAUGAAGGGGUUUAAAUAAUUUUUUGUUGGAUUUUUGGGUUUCCGAUGCGAUUUUAUGGAUUGUUUAGAGUCUUAGAUCAAUAGUUGGAUUUUUCUUGUGAGAUUUCGAGGAUUUUAGUAGUAGCUAGGGAUCUGUUGAAGGAAUGUGGAUUCCUCCUCGAAGCACGGAGAUGCGGGAUCCGCACGCCAAGUGUUCGACGAAAUGCCUGUGAGAAAUGUUGUGAUUGGAAUUCCAUCGUGUCUGGACUGCCCAAGCGCGAAGAUGUGGUUUCUACCCAAGAUGGAUCUAAUCAGGCUGUGGAUCUUGAACUGGGCCACAGAAUUGCUCAGAUUCGAGGAUGAAGUGCUUAUCAAUUUCAUUUAUUGUCUUCUCAACAGCGGCCUAUAAUUGUGCUCCCUCCUGUUGACAUCCAACUUGUGGAAUGUGAACAAUCUGAAGCUGAGCGUGAUUUCUAUGAUGCCCUCUUCAAGAAAUCUAAGGUUAGGUUUGAUCAGUUUGUGGCGCAAGGCAAAGUUCUUCACAGCUAUGCUUCCAUUCUCGAGCUUCUUCUUCGAUUAAGACUGUUGUAACCACCCUUUCCAUCUUUAUGAGGAUGGUUAUGUCAAAAUGGCAGAUGCCACAACAGCAAAGACUGAAAAGAAGGCGGUAACACUACCUUGAACACCAUAUAUGAAAUUUGCUGAUCAGCUUGAUGACAAGUACACCAAGUUCGCUGGAAGUGAUUGGCUACUUCAGAAAAAUUUCCAAAAUCUGGACACAAUAGACGGAUAUUCCUUAGCUUGUGGUAGUAUGUUGUUGACUGUCAUAUCUAAUAGAGAGGGUAGUUUUGUUAGAUGAAACUAUUUGAUAAUGCAAGGUCUUGAAGCUGUACUGGCAAAUGGCACUGUGCUUGAUAUUCUUGGCACUUUACGCAAAGACAAUACAGGAUAUGAUUUGAAACAUCUUUUCAUAGGAAGCUAAGGAUCACUUGGAAUUAUCACCAAGGUUUCUAUACUCACUCCUCCCAAGCUGCCAUCAGUCAAUCUUGCACUUCUUGCCUGUGAAGAUUAUUUCAGCUCUCAGGUUUGAUCUGCUCUCUUUCUGUAAGAUUUCUGUAUUCAGUUAUGUAUUACUUAGAGGUUCCCUGAUGGGCCUUCACCUUGUAUAUGCCCUGGUUGAAAAGUUGGGUUGUUCUAGGUCCACUAAUCAAGUGGACCAGUGUAUGAAACAAAUGUGAGAAACACUUUGGUUUAGCUGUCAUAUUGUUUCAUACAUGUGCAGCACACGUGAGGUGUUGACUAGCCUGAUUUUUGGACCAGGGCAUAUAAAUGAUGGGGGCCACCUAAGGGAUGGCUUGUAUGUUUCAUAAGUUUUCCACAUUAGCACAUUCGGAGUUACUGUAAAAAAAACAAAAACAAAAAAAGUGGCACAUUUGGAGUUGGGUCUUGGAGUUUGGCUACAUGAUGUGUGGGAUUAGCAAACUUCAAUUACGUAGCCUUAACUGACCAUUUUGUAUCAUUUUGUACUAAAUGAUACACCGAGGGUUAUUUGUUUUGAUGCUAUGAUGCUGCUAUUACAAAAUAGGUCAAUUACAUAUUUGUUACUGAGGUUGGUACUCUUUAGUGAAAUUCAGAAAACAAUACAACCUAAAUUUUUUUUUUUGAAGGACGAAGGAGACUGAUUUUGACUUUGAGGGUAAUAAAUUGAAUUUCUAUCCAGCUAUCCAAGAUAAAUACAUGCUGCAUCCAUGUGUUAUUGAAAAUUAGUCAUGGAAUCUAGCACAGAUAAUGAUAAACAACCCUCAUGUACAUUUUUUUAGUGUGUUUUCUCACGUGUGCUAGUUUCUGAGUAUGAGCUAACGCUUUUGUUUUAAUUCUUUUAGAAACUCCUCCUAGAAG